CCUACGGGGGGCAGCAGUGGGGAAUAUUGGACAAUGGGCGAAAGCCUGAUCCAGCCAUGCCGCGUGAGUGACGAAGGCCUUAGGGUUGUAAAGCUCUUUUGGCGGGGAAGCGGUACCCGCAGAAUAAGCUCCGGCUAACUUCGUGCCAGCAGCCGCGGUAAUACGAAGGGAGCUAGCGUUGUUCGGAAUCACUGGGCGUAAAGCGCACGUAGGCGGAUUUGUCAGUCAGGGGUGAAAUCCCGGGGCUCAACCUCGGAACUGCCUUUGAUACAGCAAGUCUUGAGUUCGAGAGAGGUGGGUGGAAUUCCUAGUGUAGAGGUGAAAUUCGUAGAUAUUAGGAAGAACACCGGUGGCGAAGGCGGCCCACUGGCUCGAACUGACGCUGAGACGAAAGCGUGGGGAGCAACAGGAUUAGAUACCCUUGUAGUC
rnacentral:rRNA from 1 species